AUUGAACGCUGGCGGCAGGCCUAACACAUGCAAGUCGAGCGGAUGAAGGGAGCUUGCUCCUGGAUUCAGCGGCGGACGGGUGAGUAAUGCCUAGGAAUCUGCCUGGUAGUGGGGGAUAACGUCCGGAAACGGGCGCUAAUACCGCAUACGUCCUGAGGGAGAAAGUGGGGGAUCUUCGGACCUCACGCUAUCAGAUGAGCCUAGGUCGGAUUAGCUAGUUGGUGGGGUAAAGGCCUACCAAGGCGACGAUCCGUAACUGGUCUGAGAGGAUGAUCAGUCACCACGGAAAGUGAAACGCGGUCAGCGCACAUAGGGGAGGCAGGGGGGGGAAAUUUGGAGAGGGGGGAAAGGCUUACCCCACCCGUGCGGCGGGUGGAAGGAGGGUCUUGGAAUUGAAAAGCACUUUAAGUGGGGGGAAAGGGCAGUAAUUUAAUACCUUGCUUUUUGGACUUAACAAAAAAAAAAAGACCGGACUACUUUCGGC
rnacentral:rRNA from 1 species